GUUAACAUGAGGCAAAGUAUGCCUUUAUACUUUAUUGAUCUUGAGAAAAUCUUCACUGCCAUUUGAUGAUUAUAAAACAGAUCUACAAUUAGAUAAUAAGACAAGAAAGUGUGGAUGAGGAAUUAAAGAUUCAUGUCUUCCCAUAUGUUCCAGAAGAGCAAAAAAUUAAGAAAUGUACAUGGGGUAUAAACACAAUAUAAUUUCCUCUUUGAGAUCAAAAUUCGAGUCAAGAUAUGUAAUUCGACUGUACUACAAGGUUUCUUAACUUUGGAUCCCGGCUCACAAGCAUCUUGAUGAUUUCCGAAGGCUUGCCAGAGUCACAAGCAACACAAGAUGUGAGUGUGAUCAUGCAUGUUCUUCUUCAUCUCGACUUAGUGAGUUGUGGUCGAAAUGAGGAAUACUUCGGAUACAGAAGGCUUCCCAGAUUAACUUCACUAGUGUUUAUUCAUACACGUAAACGGGAAGUGAGAUCAAGGAAGGAGUCUUCACUGCAGGGGAUGGUGAUUCCACCCAUUGGAUGAUCAUAUCCAAAUUCUUCCUCUGCUUGAUUCAGCAAAUCCAGGAAUAAAGGCUCAUUCAAGUAUGAUAUCGGAAUCACAAAGCGCUUCUUCUGGCUCUCCCCAACAUACACUGCAAAACAGCCUUUGGGGAUAUCUAAGGUUUUUGAGGCAGCUAUGUGACUUAGACUUCUCUUGGCGUUAACAAUUCCUGGCAACCGGAACCCCAUGGUGUUUAAACUCUCAAGAGGAA